UACGUAGGGUGCAAGCGUUAAUCGGAAUUACUGGGCGUAAAGCGUGCGCAGGCGGCUAUGCAAGACAGAUGUGAAAUCCCCGGGCUUAACCUGGGAACUGCAUUUGUGACUGCAUGGCUGGAGUGCGGCAGAGGGGGAUGGAAUUCCGCGUGUAGCAGUGAAAUGCGUAGAUAUCUGGAGGAACACCGGUGGCGAAGGCGGCAUCCUGGACCGACACUGACGCUGAGGAGCGAAAGCCAGGGGAGCAAACGGG
rnacentral:rRNA from 1 species